rnacentral:misc_RNA from 1 species
GAUUAAGAACGUAGCGAAAUGCGAUAAGUAGUGUGAAUUGCAGAAUUCAGUGAAUCAUCGAAUCUUUGAACGCACAUUGCGCCCCUUGGUAUCCCGAGGGGCAUGCCUGUUCGAGCGUCAUUUCACCACUCAAGCCUGGCUUGGUGUUGGGCGACGUCCUCUUUGGGGACGCGCCUCGAAACGCUCGGCGGCGUGGCACCGGCUUUAAGCGUAGCAGAAUCUUUCGCUUUGGAAGUCGGGGCCCCGUCUGCCGGAAGACCUGCUCGCAAGGUUGACCUCGGAUCAGGCAGGGAUACCCGCUGAACUUAAGCAUAUCAAUAAGCGGAGGA